rnacentral:rRNA from 1 species
CCUACGGGAGGCUGCAGUGAGGAAUAUUGGUCAAUGGCCGGAAGGCUGAACCAGCCAUGCCGCGUGAAGGUCAGUGCCCUAUGGGCGUUAAACUUCUUUUGUGCGGGAGCAAUAGUGGUCACGUGUGGCCCGACGAUAGUACCGUACGAAUCAGCAUCGGCUCACUCCGUUCCAGCAGCCGCGGUAAUACGGGGGCUGCAAGCGUUAUCCGGAUUUAUUGGGGUUAAAGGGUGCGUAGGCUGUGAGGUAAGUCAGCGGUGAAAUGCCCCCGCUCAACGGGGUGAAGUGCCAUGGAUACUGCCGUGCUGGAAUGCGGAUGCCGUGGGAGGAAUGUGUGGUGUAGCGGUGAAAUGCAUAGAUAUCACACAGAACACCGAUUGCGAAGGCAUCUCACGAAGCCGCGAUUGACGCUGAUGCACGAAAGCGUGGGUAUCAAACAGGAUUAGAUACCCCAGUAGUC